rnacentral:rRNA from 1 species
GACGAACGCUGGCGGCGUGCUUAACACAUGCAAGUCGAACGGAAAGGCCCUGCUUUUGUGGGGUGCUCGAGUGGCGAACGGGUGAGUAACACGUGAGUAACCUGCCCUUGACUUUGGGAUAACUUCAGGAAACUGGGGCUAAUACCGGAUAGGAGCUCCUGCUGCAUGGUGGGGGUUGGAAAGUUUCGGCGGUUGGGGAUGGACUCGCGGCUUAUCAGCUUGUUGGUGGGGUAGUGGCUUACCAAGGCUUUGACGGGUAGCCGGCCUGGGAGGGUGACCGGCCUCAUUGGGACUAGGAUACGACCCAGACUCCUACGGGGGGCAACAGUGGGGAAUAUUGCGCAAUGGGAGGAAGCCUGAUGCAGCAACUCCGCGUGCGGGAUGACGGCCUUCGGGUUGUAAACCGCUUUCGCCUGUGACAAAGCGUGGGUGACGGUAAUGGGUAAAGAAGCACCGGCUAACUACGUG